AUACUACUCCCUCCGUCCCAAAAUACUUGUCAUCAAAAUGGAUAAAAAAGAUGUAUUUAGAACUAAAAUACGUCUAGAUACAUCCCCUUUUAUCCAUUUUGAUGACAAGUAUUUCCGGACGGAGGGAGUAUAUG
rnacentral:pre_miRNA from 1 species